CAGCCUUGGUGCCGCCUUGCAGUUUGAUCUCAGACUGCUGUGCUAGCAAUCAGCGAGACUCCCUGGGCGUAGGACCCUCCGAGCCACGUGAGGUAUAUAAUCUCCUGAUGUGCUGUUUUUUAAGCCGGUCGGAAAAGCCCAGUAUUCUGGUGGGAGUGACCCGAUUUUCCAGAAACUCGUCGUAUAAAUUCAAUCAAUGACCUGGAUUGAAAACAGCUGUUCUGGGAUAUACUGAAUAAAGGGUAUGUGAAAACACCUGUGAGAAGGCAGCCACCUGCAAACCAGAAGGAGAGGCAUCACCAGAAACCAACCCUGCAGUCGUCUUGAUCUUGGACUUUCAUAUUCCAGAACUGUGAGAAAAUAAAUUUUGAUUGUUUAAGCUAUCCAGUCCUAGGGUAUUUUUUUUUUUUUAUGAGCAGACAAAUGUAUAAGGCAUGUUUCAAGACAGUGGAUAUGCAGUUUAAGUAAGAUAGAAAUUGGGUACAAGUGGCCUUUUGUAACAUGACAGAAAUUUAAUAUAUUUUGUGAAUAAACAAAUGUGCAAGCUGUUUAUGUAUUUGCACUUAGGAAACAGAGGCAGAAUAAAAAAAUUACUAAAAUUUAUAGUGUGAUGGACACCUGCCUUAAGAGAAGAAUAGAGACAGUAAAGAAGAAGGGAAGGAUGGAAAGAAAAUGAGAGAAGGCCAGGUGCAGUGGCUCAUGCCUGUAAUCUCAGCACUUUGGAAGUCCAAGGCGGGUGGAUCACGAGGACAGGAGUUCGAGACCAGCCUGGCCAACAUGGUGAAACCCCGUCUCUACUAAAAAUACAAAAAUUAGCCAGACAUGGUGGAGCAUGCCUGUAGUCCCACCUACUCUGGAGACUGAGGCAGAAUAAUCACUUGAACCUGGAAGGCAGAGGUUUCAGUGAGCCGAGAUCACACCACUGCACUCCAGCCUAGGUGACAGAGAGAAACUCCAUCUCAAAAAAAAAAAAAAAAAAAAAAGAAAAUGAGAUAAAACAGGAACUGAUUUUUUUAUGCAAGCAAGGAAGAAAUCAAAUGUAAAUCUAUGUUUUAAGUCCUAAUAGAACAGUGGAUAGUGACAUUGAAUUCAAGUGUGGGAGUCCGUUAUAGUGGAAAGAAAAUAUUUGAGUUGGAAAGAAAGAUUUGAGAUGACAAUUGGAUCGGUAAGGGAGAAAGACUGGGUGAUUGUUGUUGAUGUAAACCUGGAAAUAGAGGGAGAUAGCAGAAAGAGAGUGAUUUAGUAAUUAUCUACAUAGAGAUGCUCAUUGAAGCAAUCAGAUUUGAUUUCCAUCUUGAAGGAAGAUAUUCUUGUUGAGUUAGAGAACACAAAGUUCCUUCAUUACAGAGCAAAUAGCUAAAAUUCAUUUAACUGGAUUAAAUUAUAUAUUUUAGUAGUUUCUGUUAUGCUUAUCCCUGCCCAUCUAGUAUAAAAUCCUGCUCUUCAGCUAAUGUUAAGCAAAUCUAAGUGUAGCUUAGAUCCAUCAAUUGAUGGUAUCCAGAAUUUUUCAGUAAUUUAGGACAGAAUACUAGAUAUUGACAUAUCUAAUAAAUAUCACUGUUUUCUUUAAUAUUUCCCUAGUUUAUAUGACUGGAUUUAUGAAUUAGUCCAUGGUUCAACUGCAAGCCACCAGACCUCAAGAUCUGCUCUGAAACCAGGGAUUUAAGACAUUUAAGAUAAUAGAUUGUUAAAAUUGCAGGGCCGGACACAAUGGCUCAUGCCUGUAAUCCCGGCACUUUGAGAGGCCUAAGUAGGCGGAUCACUUGAGGCCAGGAGUUCAAGACCAGCCUAGGCAACAAGGUGAAACCCCAUCUCUACUAAAAAGAAAAAAUUCAAAAAUCAGCCAGACAUGUUGGUGGGUGCCUGUAAUCCCAGCUACUCUAGAGGCUGAGGCAGGAGAAUCGCUAAAACCAGGAGGCAGAGGUUGCAGUGAGCUAAGAUUACGUGACUGCAUGACUGCAUGCUAGCCUGGGUGACAGAGCGAGACUCUAUCUCAAAAAAAAAAAGAAAAGAAAAAUCCAAUAAAUCAAAAUAUAAUUGCUAUAGUAUUUAAAGUCAGUAAAUUAAUGACUUUUAUUUGUAAUAAAUAUAACUGUUUAAUUCAGAAACAUAAUAUACAAAACAUUAUUUUUAAGUUUAAUGAAAUAACACAUAUUUAAAUAGUAAAAUGAUUGGCAUAAAAUAGUAGCAGUAGUUGUAGGAGUAAUUGCCAAUGUUAAUAGAGUGGUUGCUAUUCUAGAUGCUUUAAGAAUAUAAUUUUGUUAGUCCUCCAAUCAUUCAUAAUAUAUAAUAUUAUUCAUUCUAUUUUACAGAUGAGAACUUUAAGGGAAUUUAGGUAACUUGAACAAAAUCCAGAUUUCGUGCCAUUGUAGACUGGAUCCAAGGGACAUACACUAAACCAUUAGAAAUAUACAAUGAAGUAGCAUUUACACAUACUGAUUUAAAUAUUUCCGCAGCCUAUAAUUUUAAAGGGCCCCACAAUUUACCUUUCUUAUCUUAAUAAGAACUAGGGUUAUGUUACCUUUAUGUGAGACAUACUAGUAGAAUCAGCAGUUAAAAUGUAUUUCGUGCACAUAGUAUGAAUUCCAUGAAUUUAAUAUUUUUGAUCCUUUGAAUGUUCUAAAUUAGAAAAAUCUUCCAGGCAUUGUGACACAUACAAAUAUGAGCCAUUCAUCCUUAAGGUUUUCUUUGGAUGGGAGUUGGUGUAAAACAGGUAAAACAUUGAGACUUCUGAAAUUGAUUGCUAUAAUUCUCCCAUGAAAAUAAACCAAAGGAAAUCUCAAAAUGUUAACUAUAUACUGGUUUUAGUUUUUAAAAAAUUUACAAGGUUUUCCAUAAAAACCAGUAAUUGAGCUAAUAAAAGUUAUGUAGCUAUUAAUAAUGAGCCAGUCAAUGGAAGGUAAACCCUUGGCUCUUAUGAAACAUCAUGUCAAUUGAUAACUUGAGGCCCAAACUUACAACAGAAUCUCCUAAAAGAAAGAACAGUGGCCUGCAAAGAUGAAACAUUAAUAAUAUUUAGUUAAGUCUCAUUUAUGCCAGAGAAAAAAUAUCUUGACUUGGAUUAUUUUUACCUAGGCCAACAGUGGUAGAAUGGGGGAUUAUACAACUUAGUGCCAUUUCUAUCCCAUAUUUUUGUAAAUAAUAAAUUUAUUCAUAUUCAUCAUGGUUAUAUUUAUAAGGAGAAAUAUUAUAUUUCCCCUUUGUCUCCAAAAUUACCUAUCAAAAUUUAUUUCUAUCAUUUUUUUCAUUUUAAGUUUUCACAGGUGUUGUCACCCAUACAAUUUUUCCACCCCAGCUCUCUUUCUCUUCUCUAUUUCCAGUAUCAAAACAUUCCUCUUCUUUAUAAAAAAAAAAAAAAACACUUUUCAUGCAAGACAAUUGAUCUACAAAUAAUUGCAUUUGAACCUGAAAUUGUCUAAGCGAAACAACCCCUCAAUAAUCAUGAUGCUAUCUCUACUAAGAAUUCUUAAACAAGCUACCAAUGGAAAAAUACAUGCACAGUUGACUCUUUAUAUCUGUGAGUCUCACAUCAGUUGAUUCAACUAAUGGUGAAAUUAAAAUACUAGAAUAUAAAUUUCUAUAAAGUUUUGAAAAGCAAACCUUGAAUUUGCCAUGCAUCAAAUACUAUGUUGAAUCCACAAUAUUGGAAUGAUGUAUAGGCACUGAAUUCAGUAUUACAAGUAAUUUAGAGAUGAUUUAAAAUAUUCAGGAAGUGUGGAGGUUAUAUCUAAAUUCUGUGCCAUUUUAUGAGGGACUUGAGCAUUUGCAGAAUUUGAUAUCUGUUGAGGGGGUCUGAAAUCAAUGCACCAUGAAUACUGAGGAACAACUGUACGUAUAUGGAUGUAUUAAAUUACUGCAUUUAAUUAGUGCAGAAGCCACAUCACAAUUUCAUCUUACAAAUGAGGAAGUUAAGUGACUUUCUCAAAGCAUAAACAUGGUAGUUACACAGCUGGCAUGCAAAGCUA
rnacentral:lncRNA from 10 species